rnacentral:rRNA from 1 species
UACGGAGGGUGCAAACGUUGCUCGGAAUCAUUGGGCGUAAAGCGCACGUAGGCGGACCCUCAAGUCGGAUGUGAAAUCCCUCGGCUUAACCGAGGACGUGCAUUCGAAACUGAGGGCCUUGAGUACGAAAGAGGAUCGCGGAAUUCCCGGUGUAGAGGUGAAAUUCGUAGAUAUCGGGAGGAACACCAGUGGCGAAGGCGGCGAUCUGGGGUCGAUACUGACGCUGAGGUGCGAAAGCGUGGGGAGCAAACAGG